UUCCCUCCUUUGUCCAGCAUUCCCGGGAGGGAGAAAGGCGGCACUCCUCAGGUUCCUGGCACAUCAUUCUUGUUGAUGGGUAUGUUAUGUACACAUCUCGGCCCUCAGUGACAUCUCUAAGGAAGGAAAUUUGUUGAAAUCAUACUUUGGGAGAACAAAGCAAGGUAUAAAUACUAAUAUGUUUUUCUUCUUAGUGUUAGUUCAGAUCUAUACAGCAGAAAAGGUGCUUUGAUGGCCACCUUACACCCAUGUCAUGUAGACACAGGCUGCACAGAAGAGUCACAGUGAUAUGGUUUGGCUGUGUCCCCACCCAAAUCUCAUCUUGAAUUGUAACUCCCAUAUUUCCCAUGUGUUGUGGGAGGGGCCCAGUGGGAGGUAGUCAAAUCAUGGGGGUGGGUCUUAUCCCAUGAAUAAGUAUCAUGAGAUCUGAUGGUUUUAUAAAGGGGAGUUCCCUUGCACAUGCUCUCUCUUGCCUGCCACCAUGUGAGACAUGACUUUGCUCCUCAUUUGCCUUCUGCCAUGACUGUGAGGCCUCCCUACGUGGAACUGUGAGUCAAUUAAACCUCUUUCCUUUG
rnacentral:lncRNA from 1 species